rnacentral:tRNA from 1 species
GCCGAGGUAGCUCAGCCGGUAGAGCAGAGGACUGAAAAUCCUUGUGUCGAUGGUUCGAUUCCGUCCCUCGGCA